GCCCCGUUGGCUAAGUGGUAUAGCGUCUCACUAGUAAAGUGCGAUUCUGCAAUGAGAAGAUCACUGGUUCGAUUCCAGUACGGGGCA